AACUGCUAUCAAACUCAGAUACAGCAAUGAAAUGUCUUAAUUUGUCACAUGCUUGCUUUUGUUAUUUAUUAAGAUAAAACUUGCACACAUUUUAACAGACAAGCCAAAGAAUGUCUCACUGUCUAUCAGUCCUGGGGAAAUAGUGGAUGGCAGUUCUGUGACUCUGACCUGCAGCUGUGAUGCCAACCCACCAGUGCACAACUACACCUGUGGACUUUACUACUGUGAGGCAGAGAAUGAAGUUGGCUCUCAGAACUCUACUGGAGUUGCAGUUCAUACGGAAGUGGCUGGCAUCAUCCCGUCUGCUAUUAUCACCACAUUCAUCAUUCUUGCUGUCCUGCUGUUACUUGGAAUUGUGUAUAGGAGUAAACGUGAAGGAGCUGAGAGAAACAGCAGAGGAAACCAAAGGGCUGUCCAUUCUGAUGCCCAUGAUGAGACAUACACAGCUCUCAACCCCAGGAGCACAUCCUCUGAGUAUGACACUCUGCAGGCCUCAGUGUAUGAGACUCUGCAGAGAAGAGAGACGCCCCAGUCAGAGAUGGAGCUGAAGGAUCUCGGGAUGAGAUGCCAACACCAACCAUGACUUCUGGACUCUCCAUCUUAUACUUACUGCUGCCACAGUCUUACGUUGUUAAGG
ensembl:lncRNA